CCUACGGGUGGCAGCAGUGAGGAAUAUUGGUCAAUGGGCGAGAGCCUGAACCAGCCAAGUCGCGUGAAGGAUGACGGCCCUACGGGUUGAAAGCUUUUUUUGCAAGGGAGAAAUUGGGUCCACGCGUGGGCUUAGCGAGAGUACCUGAAGAAAAAGCAUCGGCUAACUCCGUGCCAGCAGACGCGGUAAUACGGAGGGUGCGAGCGUUAUCCGGAUUGAUUGGGUUUAAAGGAUGCGUAGGCGGAAUAUCAAGUCAGCGGUAAAAAUUCGGGGCUCAACCCCGUCGUGCCGUUGAAACUGAUGUUCUUGAGUGGGCGAGAAGUAUGCGGAAUGCGGGGUGUAGCGGUGAAAUGCAUAGAUAUCACGCAGAACUCCGAUGGCGAAGGCAGCAUGCCGGCGCCCAACUGACGCUGAGGCACGAAAGCGUGGGUAUCGAACAGGAUUAGAUACCCCAGUAGUC
rnacentral:rRNA from 1 species